rnacentral:rRNA from 1 species
CGUGCCUAAUACAUGCAAGUCGAGCGGACCGACGGGAGCUUGCUCCCUUAGGUCAGCGGCGGACGGGUGAGUAACACGUGGGUAACCUGCCUGUAAGACUGGGAUAACUCCGGGAAACCGGGGCUAAUACCGGAUGCUUGAUUGAACCGCAUGGUUCAAUCAUAAAAGGUGGCUUUCAGCUACCACUUACAGAUGGACCCGCGGCGCAUUAGCUAGUUGGUGAGGUAACGGCUCACCAAGGCGACGAUGCGUAGCCGACCUGAGAGGGUGAUCGGCCACACUGGGACUGAGACACGGCCCAGACUCCUACGGGAGGCAGCAGUAGGGAAUCUUCCGCAAUGGACGAAAGUCUGACGGAGCAACGCCGCGUGAGUGAUGAAGGUUUUCGGAUCGUAAAACUCUGUUGUUAGGGAAGAACAAGUACCGUUCGAAUAGGGCGGCACCUUGACGGUACCUAACCAGAAAGCCACGGCUAACUACGUGCCAGCAGCCGCGGUAAUACGUAGGUGGCAAGCGUUGUCCGGAAUUAUUGGGCGUAAAGCGCGCGCAGGCGGUUUCUUAAGUCUGAUGUGAAAGCCCCCGGCUCAACCGGGGAGGGUCAUUGGAAACUGGGGAACUUGAGUGCAGAAGAGGAGAGUGGAAUUCCACGUGUAGCGGUGAAAUGCGUAGAGAUGUGGAGGAACACCAGUGGCGAAG